ACCACUAGUCCCUUCUCAGAAUAUGUGAAUCUGCUGCCAUUUUGUUUCUUCAGUUUUGUUUUGUUUUUAUACUCCACAAAUGAGUCACGUCAUUUGGUACUUGUCUUUCUCUGACUGGCUUAUUUCACUGAGCAUAAUACCUUCUAGCUCCAUCCAUGUUGUUGCAAAUGGUCAGACUUCUUUUCUUUUUAUGGCUGAAUAAUAUUCUUGUGUGUAUGUACCACAUCUUCUUUAUCCAUUGGUGGACACUCAGGUUGCUUCCGUAUCUUGGCUAUUGUAAAUAGUGUUGCAAUAAAUAUAGGGGUACAGAAGUCUUUUUGAUUCAGGCAUCUUGUUUCCCUUGGAUAAAUUCCUAGGAGUGGAAUGACUGGCUCAAUGGUAUUUCUAUUUUUAGUUUUUUGAGGAACCUCCAUACUGCUUUCCACAAUGGUUGAACUAAUUUACAUUCCCACCGGCAGAAUAGGAGGGUUCCCCUUUCUCUGUAUCCUCGCUGGCAUUUGUUAUUCUUUGUCUUUUGGAUGUUGGCCAUUCUAACUGGUGUAGGUGAUAUCUUAUUUAUUGUGGUUUAAUUUGCAUUUCCCUGAUGAUUAGCGAUAUGAAGCAUCUUUUCAUAUGCCUAUUGGCCAUCUGAAUUUCUUCUUCGGAGAAGUGUCUGUUCAGAUUCUCCGUCCACUUUUUAAUCGGUUAUUUGUUUUUUAGUUGUUGGGGCAUGUGAGUUCUUUAUAUAUUUUGGAUGGUCACCCCUUAAUGGAUCAAUUGUUUAUGAAUAUAUUCUCCCAUACUAUAGCAUGUCUUUUUGUUCUGCUGGUGGUGUCCUUUGCUGUACAAAAGCUUUUUAGUUUGAUGUAGUUCCACUUGUUCAUUUCUCAUUUUGUUUCCCUUGCCCAAGAUUUGUUUAGGAAAAAAAGUUGCUCAUGUUUAUGUUCAAGAGAUUUUUGCCUAUGUUUUCUUCUCUGGGUUUUAUCCCUUCCCUUAUCUUAACAGCCAAGUUGCUAUCUCCCAGGAAGUGAACCCUUCUUUGGAGAAGUCCACUGGGAUACAAAAGCCCCACAGAGGUCUUCCAACUAGCUUUUUAGAUUUCACUCAACUAUGAAUGCCCAAACAUGGCUAAUUAAUCCUUUAAGAUAAGCCUAUGAGAGAACAAACAAAAAUAAGAGAAAUUUAAAAGAUACAGAGAUCAGAGCAAAUAGCAGAAACAAGAACUAUAAAUAAUAUUGAGACAAGAAUAUUGCAUCUAUAAAAAAAUUCGGCUGCCAUAUAAAGGAAAAAGGAGCUCCUGAAGAAAAACUAGAAAAUAGAGAAAUGAUUUCUGUUUGUCAGCCUAAUAGUCUUCUUUGAUAAUUUACCUUUAGUAGUAAAUAAAAUUUUGUACAUGAAACUCAUGAUUUAUCUGCAUAUUAUAAACAUGAACUACUAUAUUGAUGUUUUAUGUUAUAAAAUGUAUACAAAUCAGAAAUUAAAAAGAAUGAGAUGAAAAGUUGAGAAAUUCUUAAUAUUUCCUCCCCACCCUAAUAGGUCUUGUCCAAGCCACUCAGGGAACCACUUUUUAAGUAACAUCAAGCAGGUGUUAAUACAUUAAAGAGGAGGUGUAAGGGAUGUCCAAAGCCAGCACACUGUCAGAAAUGAGAAGUCUCUAUCAAGGGGAGAAAACAUAGAAGUUUAAAGGAAAUUUUAGUCAAAUAGUAGAGUUAAGACAAUUUGCUAUACAGUGGGAGUACCAAUGAAUGUAGGAUGGUAUAAAAAUUGGUGAGUGAGAAUCAUGAAGUAUCAUGGCACUGCAUUAACAAGAAAGAGUUAAGCUACAUAAAACAGUAAUCUGCCUAAGGUGGCAUGGAAAUACAUAUUUUAGAAAGCUUUUGAUGCAUUUAUAAAACUAUAUUUCAGUCCUUGAAAGAAUGAAUCUCAGCAAUUCCAAUAAAAAGAGUUGAGCUAAAAAUCCUUUGUUUAUUCAGUUUCUAACAUAGGGACUUGCAUAAUAUGUGCUUAGCAAAUGUUUACCAAAUGAAAGAAUGCCAACUUACAAUUAUACUUGUGUGGUACAGUAAUAUCUAGUACAGUAACAUAUAUAGUGCAGUAAUAUAGUACGUAAGUGGCAGUCAAACUUCUGGCAAUUAAAACUAUUAGCAACCAGGCCACGAAUUCAAUGAAAGAAAAGAAUGAAAUCAAAAAGGAAAGCUAAAAACUUCAAGUCAUUUCCUCCUUAACCUCUUAAGUAUAAAAAUAAGGCAGCAAGACAGAAGUAAGGGCACAAAGAACACUCAACAAUCUAGGGAAGGAAAAAUUAAAGCCCAGGAGUAACAGAGGUACACGAAAAAUCAUAGCCAUCUAGGAAUUCUUGAUGGCAACAAAGAGCCUUGUAUAUCUUCCACGGGGCUAGUUAACCACUCUUCAAAUACUCCUUAUACACUUACUAUGUGCCUGAAGCCAUGUGUGGUCAAUGAGACAUAAAACGGAAGUCUGAGAGGAGGCUACAGAUUGCACGUUCCUUCUGCCUGGAAAAAGGGUAAGAUGCAGCUGGAACUACUUCUGUCUUCUUUCUGCUUUGAAGGGAUGACUUUCAUCUAAAAUUUAUCUUGACAAUGUUAUCCAUUUUAUAACAAGCCUGAAUAUGAAAGCCAAUAAAUACACUUAGGGUGGCAGAGAGCAGAGCCUAGAUGGUAUCACUGAGGAGAUGAACUACCUCUGGUUUCUUUUAUGUAAGAAGAAUAUAUCCCUAUUUGUUCAAGGCUCUCUUAGUUUGGUCACUUACAACUAAACACAUUUCUAGGUGCUAUUCAAGACUCUAAAUGCCUAUUAGAGACCCUGCCUCCAAGGAGUUAGAGGUCUAAGAAAGGCAAGUAAACAAGUAUUCAUGUGACUCAGGUAAGUAAGAGUUCUAAUAGAAUAGAUGUGGAAGAAACCAAUUUUAACUAGGGAAGCAAAGGGUCAUCUUCAGAGCUUGAGAUGUGUAAGUAUUUAAAAACUAAGUAGGAAUAAGAAAGCCAGGAAAGGGAAAGGGUAUUUCUAAGCAGGGAGCAGCAUCUGCAAACUACUAGUACUUGGAAGGAGCCUUUGAAGAAGGGACUGUAAUUAAGCUCAGUUCACCAGAUGGUACUCAUCACGACCAGAAGUCAUCAAGGAAAAGGUAAAUUAUACUUAAUAUAUACUUUAAGAAGUUGUUUUAAGAAGAUGGGCAAUAUGUAAAAUUAUUUCUAAGUAAUUUUUGCUUAAAGUAUUUAUAAGACUUAAAAAGGUGGCACUUUAAUGGCAAGAUUUAGUCAUAUGUAACAAUAUAAGGACAAUACUUCUUGAUAAUAUAUUAUUAUUAUGACCUUUCUGACACAUAUUUUCUUUAUUCUUUUAAUUUUUAAAAAACAGAGAUUGCAGAAGUAACUCCUGAGCAGCUGGUUGUCAUAAAAGUUUCAAGUAAAUUCAUUUCCAAUUUCCUCCUCAUAGGUGAUCAAUUUAGUACAUCCUUCCAAACCUUUUCCUUUGCAUCCCCAUGUAUGGACAUAUACAUAUUUUAGAUACAUUCACAUAUUCAUUAUUGUACAAAUAAUUUGAUAUUGCUAUAUGACUUUUCACAUAAUACGUAUUGAAGAUCUUGUUAUUAUGAAAUUAAGAAAAUUGUUAACAUUUAGUUAAAAGUUGAUUAUUUGAUUUUUAAAGUCCCAAUUAAUGAAGUCUUCCGGUUGGUUAAAGAUGAAAACACUAGCUAAGGCCAAAUAAUAACAUAUAAAUAAGUGGACAUUCCUAGCUAAUAUUGCUAGGGAAACAAUUAGCAGCUUCAUUUACUAAGGGGGGAAAGAUUGUGGCGGGUGGGGAGGCAGUGCAGUAAGGAGAGGGAGACUCUUAAAUUCUUAAAUAGAGGCAGUGGCCCUUGAGAUCCUCUGAGAAAAUCAGGGGGAUCCAAUCCAGCUUCCCGACUUAUAAAUCAUUAUUUGCCAUUAACCAGUUUCAUCAAAGGUGUCAUGUCACUGGUCUUUUCUCUGAAGGGUUAGACAGAUCUCUGGUUCUCUAAACUUGGAGCGACUGAAAUUUGGGUUUAGAUUCAAACCUGCUUCUUGGGCUCUGCCCAAGCUCACAGUUCUCCAGUUAAAACACCAAAACCAGCGUGUAUAUUUAAGUUCAAUUCAUUCAAUAAAUACUCAAGUAUCUAAUAUCUAGAAGGCACUAUGCAUGGACUUUGGGAUAACUGAAUCCCAGUUAUUAGGUGUGGUAAAAUAUACUUUUCUACAUCUCAGUUUACUGAUCUGUUAGACAAGGAUACCACUAGUCUGUAGCACUGCUGUAAGGAUUGAGAUGUUGUACUCAAAGCACAUGGAACACAGGAGGUACUCAAGAAAUGUUAGCUCUCAUCCUCUACUCUUUCCUGCAAAAAGGACUUACAGAAGCCAAAACAAAACAUUUAAAACAAUUCAUAUUUGUAAAUUUAGGCAUAAAAACAUCCACAAUUAAAGGAUUUGUCAAUAUUUGAUUUUUCCAUAUGAAAGUCCAUAUCAAGGAAAACUCUUGCGACCUGGAAUCUAUCAUAAAUUCAACCACUCCUGAAUUGAAUUUGAAUUUGAAUUUGCAAUGAACUACAAUAAACGUGCAGCUCUGCUAAGCAUAUACGUAAAACAAGUAAGAUGGCAAAGGACUGUCUACCACACCUACCAAAGAAAAUAAGCUCUUGGGUAAAUAAAAACUAUUCUAAAAUAAUUUCAAAUUUAUAGAAAAGCUGCAAAAAUAGUAUACUCUACUUAGAUUCUACUUAAGGUAUUGUCCCAUUUGCCUUAUUACCUCUUUUUCUAAAUACACAGAUUUUUUUUCUGAGCCACGUUUAUCAUGCUCCUUUAUCCCUAAACACUUGCAUUGCUUAAGAACAUGGACAUUGUCUUAUAGAAUCAGUAGUCAUCAAUCUCAGCAAGUUUACCAUUUUUAAGUUUAUUUUCUAUGGUCCAACUUUUGUCAACUGUCUUAGCACUGCCCUUGGCAGCUUUUCCCUCUACUACCAAAUCCAGACCAGAAUCCCCUAUUGCACUUAGUUGCCAUGUCUCCUUACAUAGCAUCUGAUAUGCUGUUUACAAAAUGAACGUUGCUCAAAAUAGAUUAGAAAAAUUAUACAUAUACUACAAAAAUGCAGUUGAUGUAAAUUCUAUUUCAGCAUUUUGUCCUUUCCUUUUCACAAAACAGUUGUUAGUAAUGAUGUUUUUACAGUUUCAAAGAAUUUAUCAAAGCACUCUUUAAACCUCAAAGGAAAUAUUCAAGAACGAGGAAAACUUAACUGCAAUUAAAAAUGAAGGCAAUGGAUAUCAGUUCCAACCAAACUGUUGGGCCGUAUUUUAUGUGUAUUGGGCACUACUUUGGAACUUAACAAGGCAGGUAAAGGAGGACACGCUGUACUUACCUCUCGGGGGUUAGGGGCAUUGCAGGGGAGGAUAAGAGGAAUUUUUGCUUUUUUACUCCAUGAAUUUCUGUACUGUUUUAAUUUCUGACAGUAAGCAAGCACAGUUCUUACUUAAUAAUAAGAUAAAUUAAAAAGACAAAACUGGAUGACGGGCUGGAUUUUUAAUGUGCGGGGUUAAACUGAAUAUCGAAGUUCAUGUGUUCUGCUUUGUUUUCUUCGUCUCAAGAGAAGAUAGUGAUAUCUCCCCCUAACUAAAUCAAGGAGACGUCGGAAAGGUUAAGCAGUGCCUGAACUACUAUUUUAGGGAGAAAGAGCCAGCAGAAUGUUCCCCAGAGAUCAGAAAAAGCUCUCCUGUGAACUGCUGGCAGUGCCAAGGUUAAUGGUCUGCCUCGAGAACCAGAAAUUCACGCAGAACCUUCCUGAAUUUUAAGAGCAUUCAUUCAGCAGCGGGCAACAGAGGAGCCAAUGAAAGCGAGGGGCGGUCUAGGUGUAGAGGGAGAGAGGACGCAGGGCUUCGGGGCGCGCGCAGACCAAGGAGGGCGACCUGGGCUGACAGCCGCAUAGUAGGGACGCCCGGGCCCCGCGCACACCGCGGCUGCGGGGCGGCGGUCGAGGGUGAGUGUCCCGAGCCGCAGGACUGGUGGCUGCCGUGCAGACCGGCGAGCUGGCUAACUGACGAGCGCAGGAGCGGGAGAGCGCGGCUCUGGAGGUGGGAGCCUUAAUCAUGAUGCUUGUCCCAUAUGACCUUCAGCAUUUUUGAAGAGGAGAAGACAAUUACUUUGCAGAAUGUCCAUCAGUUUGGGUUGAAACCAGAAAACUCCCAUUUCCAGACUCCUUGCAGCAUGUGACCUGGGCUUCACCAAUCAGCUCUAUCCAGGUGUGACUUAAGGCAUCAGAUGGAUUAUCUGCAAAGGCACUGAUAAUGGCUAUGAGGAAUAAAUACUGCAGAUGGAGCAAAUCAAAGAGUCAAAUUACAAAGCCAAACCGAAGAGUCAUGAAAAGGAGGGAGAAGCAGAAAGGAAGGAAAAGGACAAUUACUGAAGGAAAAUGAGCAGUUGAUUAUGAAAAAGAAUAUCUUCUGCUGUUUGAAUAAAGAUCAAAGAGCUUUCAUUGGUGGCUCCACACAUGGCUGGGACUCUGAGCAGCAAGUCCCAAAGUCAAGAAAGUAAAAGGAACUUAGACUUUAACUAUUAGUAGUAAUGAGAAUGUACUAAAUAUCAACAACUCAUUUACCAGGCAAUGUCAUUUCCCAAGCAUGUUCACAUUUAUCAUAGGUAAAAUGUUUUCAUGAACACUGUUUUCAACAUGUUUGCAGAAGCUAUUUUCGCCUAGGUAACAAAUGGUUCACUGAAAUUGCUGGUGUGCUGAUCUGGUUUUGAAGAAUUCUAUAAUAAGGAAAAAUUCUGUGGAACAGAUGGAAUGAGAAGGCCCUAGACACAGAACAGGCAUAUCUGGUAAUGACAGUGUUCUUUUGAUAUAGUAUUAUGUUUUAUGUUUUACAAGUAUUAGUAUGCAAGGAACUCAGGCAGGAGCAGGAAAGAGGAAGUGAGUAGGAAUAAUACUUCAUAUUUGAAGAGGCUUUAUACCUGCCCAAGUACUCAGACCUCAUCUAGCAGCAAGUAUUAUCCAAAUUCUACUGAUGAAAAACAUGCUUCUAAGAAAGAUGUGUUACAAAUGACAGAAAAUCCAUCUCAAAGUGGCUUAAGAAAUGAAAGGUAUGUGUCUUUCUGUGUGUGCUGUGUGUGCGCGUGCGUGUGUG